GACGAACGCUGGCGGCGUGCCUAAUACAUGCAAGUAGAACGCUGAAGGAGGAGCUUGCUUCUCUGGAUGAGUUGCGCACGGGUGAGUAACGCGUAGGUAACCUGCCUGGUAGCGGGGGAUAACUAUUGGAAACGAUAGCUAAUACCGCAUAAGAGUAGAUGUUGCAUGACAUUUGCUUAAAAGGUGCAAUUGCAUCACUACCAGAUGGACCUGCGUUGUAUUAGCUAGUUGGUGAGGUAACGGCUCACCAAGGCGACGAUACAUAGCCGACCUGAGAGGGGGAUCGGCCACACUGGGACUGAGACACGGCCCAGACUCCUACGGGAGGCAGCAGUAGGGAAUCUUCGGCAAGGGACGGAAGUCUGACCGAGCAACGCCGCGUGAGGGAAGAAGGGUUUCGGAUCGUAAAGCUCUGUUGUAAGAGAAGAACGAGUGUGAGAGUGGAAAGUUCACACUGUGACGGUAUCUUACCAGAAAGGGACGGCUAACUACGUG
rnacentral:rRNA from 1 species